GACGAACCGUGCGAACGUUGUUCGGAUUCACUGGGCUUAAAGGGCGCGUAGGCGGGCGGUCAAGUCAGGGGUGAAAUCUUUCGGCUCAACCGGAAAAGUGCCUUUGAUACUGGCCGUCUCGAGGGGGGUAGGGGCAUGCGGAACUUCCGGUGGAGCGGUGAAAUGCGUAGAUAUCGGAAGGAACGCCGGUGGCGAAAGCGGCGUGCUGGACCUCUUCUGACGCUGAGGCGCGAAAGCCAGGGGAGCAAACGGG
rnacentral:rRNA from 1 species